UCUGCUACUCCAUACCACGAAGGCUUGAUGUCUCCAAAUUAUCUGUUGAGCCCAAAUCUCCGGCUGUCUCCUAGCAACGAUGCACAGUUUUCACCAUAUGUUGGUGGUAUGGCAUUUUCGCCUACUUCAUCUCCUGGUUACAGUCCAUCAUCACCAGGCUACAGUCCAUCAUCACCUGGAUACAGCCCCACUUCACCAGGGUACAGUCCCACAUCCCCUGGGUACAGCCCCACAUCACCUGGGUACAGUCCUACCUCUCCAACAUACAGCCCUAGCUCUCCAGGAUACAGUCCUACGAGCCCAGCUUAUUCACCUACAAGUCCAUCCUACUCUCCCACGUCACCCAGCUACAGUCCCACAUCACCCAGCUACAGCCCAACUUCUCCCAGCUACAGCCCUACAUCUCCCAGCUAUAGCCCCACUUCACCUGCAUACAGCCCAACAUCUCCAGCAUACAGCCCCACUUCACCUGCCUAUAGUCCCACUUCUCCAUCAUAUAGUCCAACAUCACCUUCCUACAGUCCAACUUCGCCUUCCUACAGCCCCACAUCACCCUCUUACAGCCCGACAUCUCCCUCAUAUAGCCCUACAUCACCUGCUUACAGCCCUACCUCUCCUGGGUACAGCCCCACAUCACCCUCUUACAGCCCAACAUCACCAUCAUAUAGUCCUACUUCCCCAAGUUACAAUCCGCAGUCUGCUAAGUAUAGCCCUUCAUUGGCAUAUUCUCCCAGCAGUCCGAGGUUGUCUCCAUCAAGUCCCUAUAGUCCCACGUCUCCAAGCUAC
rnacentral:lncRNA from 1 species